UAGGGAAUAUUGCAAAAUGUGCGAAAGCGCGAUGCAGCAACGCCGCGUGAGUGAUGAAGGCCUUCGGGUCGUAAAACUCUUUUCGAGGGGAUGAGGAAGGACAGUACCCUCGGAAUAAGCCUCGGCUAACUACGUGCCAGCAGCCGCGGUAAAACGUAGGAGGCGAGCGUUAUCCGGAUUUACUGGGCGUAAAGCGCGUGCAGGCGGUUCGGAAAGUUGGAUGUGAAAGCUCCCGGCUCAACUGGGAGAGGACGUUCAAAACUACCGGACUAGAGGAUGGCAGAGGAAGGUGGAAUUCCGGGUGUAGUGGUGAAAUGCGUAGAUAUCCGGAGGAACACCAGUGGCGAAAGCGGCCUUCUGGGCCAUUUCUGACGCUCAGACGCGAAAGCUAGGGUAGCAAACGGG
rnacentral:rRNA from 1 species